rnacentral:rRNA from 1 species
CCUACGGGAGGCAGCAGUGGGGAAUUUUGUGCAAUGGGGGCAACCCUGACGCAGCAACGCCGCGUGAGUGAUGAAGGCCUUCGGGUCGUAAAGCUCUGUCAGAGGGGAAGAAAUGCAGGUGGUGAACAACCAUUCUGUUUGACGGUACCCUCAAAGGAAGCACCGGCUAACUCCGUGCCAGCAGCCGCGGUAAUACGGAGGGUGCGAGCGUUGUUCGGAUUUACUGGGCUUAAAGGGCGUGUAGGCGGUUUGUUAAGUCGGAUGUGAAAGCCCCGGGCUCAACCGGGGAAGUGCAUUGGAGACUGGCAGACUUGAGUACGGGAGAGGAGAGUGGAAUUCCCAGUGUAGGAGUGAAAUCCGUAGAUAUUGGGAGGAACACCGGUGGCGAAGGCGGCUCUCGGGACCGAUACUGACGCUGAGACGCGAAAGCGUGGGGAGCAAACAGGAUUAGAUACCCUUGUAGU